GGGGGUGUAGCUCAGUUGGUUAGAGCGCCAGCCUGUCACGCUGGAGGCCGCCGGUUCGAGUCCGGUCACCCUCG
rnacentral:tRNA from 4 species